rnacentral:rRNA from 1 species
UACAGAGGGUGCAAGCGUUGUUCGGAAUUACUGGGCGUAAAGCGCGUGUAGGUGGCGAUGUAAGUCGGGUGUGAAAUCCCUCGGCUCAACCGAGGAAGUGCACUCGAUACUGUGUCGCUUGAGUGUUGGAGGGGAUGGCGGAAUUCCCGGUGUAGAGGUGAAAUUCGUAGAUAUCGGGAGGAACACCUGUGGCGAAGGCGGCCAUCUGGACAACUACUGACACUGAGACGCGAAAGCAUGGGGAGCGAACAGGG